rnacentral:rRNA from 1 species
AGCGAACGUUUGCGGCGGGCCUAACACAUGCAAGUCGAACGCACUAGCAAUAGUGAGUGGCGCACGGGUGCGUAACACGUGGGUAAUCAACCCUUCAGCCUGGGAUAACGACUCGAAAGGGUCGCUAAUACCGGAUACGGCGCGAGAGGCUUCGGCUUCUCACGAGAAAGCCACGCAAGGGGCACUGAAGGACGAGCCUGCGGCCCAUCAGCUAGUUGGUGAGGUAAGAGCUCACCAAGGCUAAGACGGGUAGCUGGUCUGGGAGGAUGAUCAGCCACACUGGAACUGAGACACGGUCCAGACUCCUACGGGAGGCAGCAGUGGGGAAUAUUGCGCAAUGGGCGAAAGCCUGACGCAGCCACGCCGCGUGAGCGAUGAAGGCCUCGGUCGGU